GACCCGUCUUGAAACACGGACCAAGGAGUCUAACAUGUGUGCGAGUUUUUGGGUGGCAAACCCAUGAGCGUAAUGAAAGUGAAUACAGGUGGGAUCCGCAAGGAGCACCAUCGACCGGCCCUGAACUUCUGGGAUGGGUCUGAGUAAGGGCAUAUAUGUUGGGACCCGAAAGAUGGUGAACUAUGCCUGAAUAGGGCGAAGCCAGAGGAAACUCUGGUGGAGGCUCGAAGCGAUACUGACGUGCAAAUCGAUCGUCAAAUUUGGGUAUAGGGGCGAAAGACUAAUCGAACCAUCUAGUAGCUGGUUCCUUCCGA
rnacentral:rRNA from 1 species